AAGUGUUACAGUACUUUCAGAAUUGGUCUGUUAGGCUUUCCAGUUUUCUCUGGAAAGCUCCU
ensembl:snRNA U7 U7 small nuclear RNA